GACGAACGCUGGCGGCGUGCUUAACACAUGCAAGUCGAACGGAAAGGCCCUGCUUUUGUGGGGUGCUCGAGUGGCGAACGGGUGAGUAACACGUGAGUAACCUGCCCUUGACUUUGGGAUAACUUCAGGAAACUGGGGCUAAUACCGGAUAGGAGCUCCUGCUGCAUGGUGGGGGUUGGAAAGUUUCGGCGGUUGGGGAUGGACUCGCGGCUUAUCAGCUUGUUGGUGGGGUAGUGGCUUACCAAGGCUUUGACGGGUAGCCGGCCUGAGAGGGUGACCGGCCACAUUGGGACUGAGAUACGGCCCAGACUCCUACGGGAGGCAGCAGUGGAGAAUGGUGCACAAUGGGCGGAAGCCUGAUGCAGCAACGCCGCGUGCGGGAUGACGGCCUUCGGGUUGUAAACCGCUUUCGCCUGUGACGAAGCGUGAGUGACGGUAAUGGGUAAAGAAGCACCGGCUAACUACGUG
rnacentral:rRNA from 1 species